AAAUGCCGGAUGCUCCAUUUGAUCGCAUGGUCUUCUGGGAAAGCUUUCGCGGUAUGGGAUGGGGUCGCGUCCUAUCUGCUUGACGGCGGGGUAACGGCCCACCGUGGCUUCGACGGGUAGCCGGCCUGAGAGGGCGACCGGCCACAUUGGGACUGAGAUACGGCCCAGACUCCUACGGGAGGCAGCAGUGGGGAAUAUUGCACAAUGGGCGCAAGCCUGAUGCAGCGACGCCGCGUGAGGGAUGGAGGCCUUCGGGUUGUAAACCUCUUUUAUCGGGGAGCAAGCGAGAGUGAGUUUACCCGUUGAAUAAGCACCGGCUAACUACGUGCCAGCAGCCGCGGUAAUACGUAGGGUGCAAGCGUUAUCCGGAAUUAUUGGGCGUAAAGGGCUCGUAGGCGGUUCGUCGCGUCCGGUGUGAAAGUCCAUCGCUUAACGGUGGAUCCGCGCCGGGUACGGGCGGGCUUGAGUGCGGUAGGGGAGACUGGAAUUCCCGGUGUAACGGUGGAAUGUGUAGAUAUCGGGAAGAACACCAAUGGCGAAGGCAGGUCUCUGGGCCGUUACUGACGCUGAGGAGCGAAAGCGUGGGGAGCGAACAGGAUUAGAUACCCUGGUAGUCCACGCCGUAAACGGUGGAUGCUGGAUGUGGGGCCCGUUCCACGGGUUCCGUGUCGGAGCUAACGCGUUAAGCAUCCCGCCUGGGGAGUACGGCCGCAAGGCUAAAACUCAAAGAAAUUGACGGGGGCCCGCACAAGCGGCGGAGCAUGCGGAUUAAUUCGAUGCAACGCGAAGAACCUUACCUGGGCUUGACAUGUUCCCGACGGUCGUAGAGAUACGGCUUCCCUUCGGGGCGGGUUCACAGGUGGUGCAUGGUCGUCGUCAGCUCGUGUCGUGAGAUGUUGGGUUAAGUCCCGCAACGAGCGCAACCCUCGCCCCGUGUUGCCAGCGGAUUAUGCCGGGAACUCACGGGGGACCGCCGGGGUUAACUCGGAGGAAGGUGGGGAUGACGUCAGAUCAUCAUGCCCCUUACGUCCAGGGCUUCACGCAUGCUACAAUGGCCGGUACAACGGGAUGCGACGCGGCGACGCGGAGCGGAUCCCUGAAAACCGGUCUCAGUUCGGAUCGCAGUCUGCAACUCGACUGCGUGAAGGCGGAGUCGCUAGUAAUCGCGAAUCAGCAACGUCGCGGUGAAUGCGUUCCCGGGCCUUGUACACACCGCCCGUCAAGUCGGGAAAGUGGGCAGCACCCGAAGCCGAUGGCA
rnacentral:rRNA from 1 species